AAUAGAUACCCGGGUAGUCCACGCCCUAAACGAUGUCAACUAGCUGUUGGGGCCUUCGGGCCUUAGUAGCGCAGCUAACGCGUGAAGUUGACCGCCUGGGGAGUACGGUCGCAAGAUUAAAACUCAAAGGAAUUGACGGGGACCCGCACAAGCGGUGGAUGAUGUGGAUUAAUUCGAUGCAACGCGAAAAACCUUACCUACCCUUGACAUGUCUGGAAUCCUUAAGAGAUUAGGGAGUGCUCGCAAGAGAACCGGAACACAGGUGCUGCAUGGCUGUCGUCAGCUCGUGUCGUGAGAUGUUGGGUUAAGUCCCGCAACGAGCGCAACCCUUGUCAUUAGUUGCUACGAAAGGGCACUCUAAUGAGACUGCCGGUGACAAACCGGAGGAAGGUGGGGAUGACGUCAAGUCCUCAUGGCCCUUAUGGGUAGGGCUUCACACGUCAUACAAUGGUCGGGACAGAGGGCUGCCAACCCGCGAGGGGAGCCAAUCCCAGAAACCCGAUCGUAGUCCGGAUUGCAGGCUGCAACUCG
rnacentral:rRNA from 1 species